rnacentral:rRNA from 1 species
AACGAACGCUGGCGGCAGGCUUAACACAUGCAAGUCGAGCGCCCCGCAAGGGGAGCGGCAGACGGGUGAGUAACGCGUGGGAAUCUACCCAUCUCUACGGAAUAACGCAUGGAAACGUGUGCUAAUACCGUAUACGUCCUUCGGGAGAAAGAUUUAUCUGAGAUGGAUGAGCACGCGUUGGAUUAGCUAGUUGGUGGGGUAAAGGCCUACCAAGGCGACGAUCCAUAGCUGGUCUGAGAGGAUGAUCAGCCACACUGGGACUGAGACACGGCCCAGACUCCGACGGGAGGAAGCAGUGGGGAAUAUUGGACAAUGGGCGCAAGCCUGAUCCAGCCAUGCCGCGUGAGGGAUGAAGGCCCUAGGGUUGUAAAGCUCUUUCACCGGUGAAGAUAAUGACGGUAACCGGAGAAGAAGCCCCGGCUAACUUCGUGCCAGCCGCCGCCGUAAUAC